rnacentral:rRNA from 1 species
UACGGAGGAUGCGAGCGUUAUCCGGAUUUAUUGGGUUUAAAGGGUGCGCAGGCGGAGGCACAAGUCAGCGGUAAAAUCGCGGGGCUCAACCCCGCUCCGCCGUUGAAACUGUGUCCCUUGAGUGCGCGAAGGGUAGGCGGAAUGCGUGGUGUAGCGGUGAAAUGCAUAGAUAUCACGCAGAACUCCGAUCGCGAAGGCAGCCUACCGGCGCGCAACUGACGCUCAUGCACGAAAGCGUGGGUAUCGAACAGG